rnacentral:rRNA from 1 species
AUUUCGGUUGUCGAUGGGGAUGCGUUCCAUUAGGCAGUUGGCGGGGUAACGGCCCACCAAACCUACGAUGGAUAGGGGUUCUGAGAGGAAGGUCCCCCACAUUGGAACUGAGACACGGUCCAAACUCCUACGGGAGGCAGCAGUGAGGAAUAUUGGUCAAUGGACGAGAGUCUGAACCAGCCAAGUAGCGUGAAGGAUGACUGCCCUAUGGGUUGUAAACUUCUUUUAUACGGGAAUAAAGUGAGCCACGUGUGGCUUUUUGUAUGUACCGUAUGAAUAAGGAUCGGCUAACUCCGUGCCAGCAGCCGCGGUAAUACGGAGGAUUCGAGCGUUAUCCGGAUUUAUUGGGUUUAAAGGGAGCGUAGGCGGGUUGUUAAGUCAGUUGUGAAAGUUUGCGG